rnacentral:SRP_RNA from 1 species
UUUUGUUGGAGGCGGCGUCUUUUUGCGUGCGGUGUCUCUCCUGGAUACAUGAUGGAGCGGCAUAGCACCAGCCUCUAUGAGGAGAGGGCAAACGGACGAGGAC